GCCUCCGUGGCCUAAUGGAUAAGGCAUCGGUUUUCUAAACCGGGGAUUGUGGGUUCGAGUCCCACUGGAGGUA
rnacentral:tRNA from 1 species